UAGACAGGGAGGGAGAAUUAGACAGGGAGGGAGAAUUAGACACAGGGAGAAUUAGACAGACACAGGGAGAAUAAGACAGGGGAAGGGACAUACAAUGACAGAUGCAUCACAACAACAACAUUCAACAGUGGGUGGGACUGACUUUUCAGAAGUGUAAUGUGGAUCUUCUAAAAGAGGUGCUUUUAUUGUUGUUGUGACAUUAUAUUAGUUAAUGUGAUAACUGUUGCUCAUCGAAUGAUUAACGGUUUAUAAUUGCAUGAUUCAUAUGACACCAAUCCCGUUUGCGGGAUUGAUUUUGACAAUAGCCAGUGAAAAAUCAGAGCGCCAAAUUCAAAACCACUAAUCUAAUAAUUUCAAUUUCUCAAACAUACGACUAUUUUACACCAUUUUAAAGAUACACUUCUCCUGAAUCGAACCACGUUGUCCGAUUUCAAAAAGGCUUUACAGUGAAAGCAAAACAUUAGAUUAUGUUAGGAGAGUACAUAUACAAAAAUAACCACACAGCCAUUUUCCAAGCAAGGACAUGUGUCACAAAAACCAGAAAACCAGCUAAAAUUAUGCACUAACCUUUGACGAUCUUCAUCAGAUGAUACUCCUAGGACAUCAUGUUACACUAUACAUGCAUUUUUUGUUCGAUCAAGUUGAUAUUUAUAUCCAAAAAUAGCAUUUUACAUUGGCGCGUGAUGUUCAGAAAAUAUUUUCCCUCCAAUACUACCGGUGAAUCAGCACAACAAUUUACAGAAAUACUCAUCAUAAACGUUGAUAAAAUAUUAAACUGUUAUUCAAAGAAUUAUAGAUGAACAUCUCCUUUAUGCAACCCCUGAGACAGAUUUCAAAAAAGCUUCACGGGGAAAGCACACUUUGCAAUAAUCUGAGUACAGCGCUCAGAAAAAAACAUCAAGCAAUACAGAUACCCGCCAUUUUGGAGUCAUAUAAAAUCAUAAAUAGCAUUAGAAAUAUUCACUUCCCUUUGAUGAUCUUCAUCAGAAGGCUCCUUUUUGUUAGCAUGUUCAGUAAGCUACUCCAAAUGUAGGAAGCGCGCGGAAAACUUCACGACGAAAAGUUAAAAAAAGUUAUAUUUACGUUCGUUGAAACAUGUCAAACGUUGUAAAGCAUCAAUCUUUAGGGCCAUUUUAACGUAAAACUUCAAUAAUAUUCCAACCGGACAAUUCCAAUGUCUUGAAAAACGUUUUGGAACUCAGCUACCUCCUCACGUGAACUCAUGUCAUUUUCUGGGUCACCAACUUCCCCACCUUCUUGUUCGCUCUCUGUUCACUACAAAAGGCUGAAACAAGGUUCUAAAGAUUGUUGACAUCUAGUGCAAGCCUUAGGAAGUGCUAAAUGAAACCUAAGUCACUGUGUGUUAGAUAGGCAAAGACUUGGAAAGAUUCCACACAUCAGAUUUCCACUUCCUGGUUGGAUUUUUCUCAGGAUUUGCCUGCCAUUUGAGUUAUGUUAUACUCACAGACAUCAUUCAAACAGUUUUAGAAACUU
rnacentral:lncRNA from 1 species